rnacentral:rRNA from 1 species
CAGCCGCCGCGGUAAUACGAAGGGUGCAAGCGUUACUCGGAAUUACUGGGCGUAAAGCGUGUGUAGGUGGUUGUUUAAGUCUGUCGUGAAAGCCCUGGGCUCAACCUGGGAAUUGCGAUGGAUACUGGGCGACUAGAGUGCGGUAGAGGAUAGUGGAAUUUCCGGUGUAGCAGUGAAAUGCGUAGAGAUCGGAAGGAACAUCUGUGGCGAAGGCGACUAUCUGGGCCAACACUGACCCUGAGACACGAAAGCGUGGGGAGCAAACAGGAUUAGAUACCCGCGUAGUCCCUGUCUCUUAUAA